rfam:Schistosoma haematobium scaffold947_27, whole genome shotgun sequence.
AUCCAGCUGAGUCCCAAAUAGUACGAAACGCAAGUCCUGGAU